rnacentral:rRNA from 2 species
UUUUUGGAUCCCAUGAUCAGAAAAAAAAAGGCGGCUUUGGCUCUCACUGGGAGAGGCGCCUGCGGCGCAUAUCUAGUUGGUGGGGUAACGUCCUACCAAGGCGACGAUGUGUAGCCCACCUGAGAGGGUGACCCCCCACACUGGGAGUGAGACACGGCCCAGACUCCUACGGGAGGCAGCAGUAGGGAAUUUUCCACAAUGGAAGAAAGUCUGAUGGAGCAACGCCGCGUGAAAGAAGAAGGCCUUCGGGUUGUAAAGUUCUGUUGUUAGGAAAGAAUAAGUACCGUUAGAAUAGGGCGGUGCCUUGGCGGUACCGAAGAAAAAACCCACGGCUAACUAGGCGCCAGCAGCGGUGGUAAUAAGUAGGUGGCAAGCGUUGUCCGGAUUUAUUGGGCGUAAAGCGGCCGCAGGCGGCUAUGUAAGUGUGUUGUUAAAGCCCGGAGCUCAACUGGGGUUCGCAUCGGAAACUGGGUAGCUUGAGUGCAGAAGAGGAAAGCGGUAUUCCACGUGUAGCGGUGAAAUGAGUAGAGAUGUGGAGGAACACCAGUGGCGAAGGCGGCUUUGUGGUCUGUAACUGACGAUGAGGCGCGAAAGCGUGGGGAGCAAACAGGAUUAGAUACCCUGGUAGUCCACGCCGUAAACGAUGAGUUGUAGGUGUUGGGGGUUUCAACACCCUCAGUGCAGCAGCUAACGCAAUAAGCACUCCGCGGGGGGAGUACGCUCGCAAGAGUGAAACUAAAAAGAAUUGGGGGGCCCCCCCACCAGCGGUGGAGCAUGUGGUUUAAUUAGAAGCAACGAGAACCACCUCACCAGGUCUUGACAUCCCGAUGAUCGCUAUAGAGAUAGAGCUUCCCUUCGGGGCAGCGAGACAGGUGG